rnacentral:lncRNA from 1 species
UAGUAGAUUGGAUCUGAAUCACUCAUCAACACUAAGUUCAUACUAACAAUGCUAGUCGAAAUAGAUCUUGUGCUAUACGUUCCACAGUUUGAUAAACCUUGGGGGAGUAUUCUGAGGGAAGAGCUACAAUUUAUCCAUGCACUUGCGGUUCACAAAUUGGCUUACUAACAACAGUCAACAAGCUUUUCUGGGGCCAUUUCCUGGGAAUUAAUAGUCAAGUUCUAUGUUUAACUAUGCAUCUAUAGAUAUAACUUUUUUUUUCAUAUUUUCAUUCUUUUCUUUUUCUUUUUUUUGGUUUUUCUUCAUUUUCAAACUAGUUUUUGUAUAUAUAUGUUUGCUUUCACUAACGUUAAUAGGAGAUGGACGGCUCUCUCUCCAACAAACCAAAUAAUUUGUUGGAUGAUCCAGAAGAACUUUACAGGCAAGGAAGACGUAUAGCAAAAACAAGAAAGCUAGAGAUUGCAGAAGCCUGAGCUGUUAAGGAAGAAUUGGAAGUAUUGGAAACAUCAUCAUCAACAUCAUCGUCAUCAUCUACUCCAAAGUCGACACCACCAGCAGGUCCAAGAGAAGCGACCGUUGCUCUAGUAGCACUAGAAGCACCUUCAAUGGGAGAUCAAUCGGAGCCAAAGGGCACCAUCGGAGAACUUAGCAUCCCAAACAUCAAUGCCUU